GGAGAAAUGACCGAGUGAUUGAAGGUGCCUGACUCGAAAUCAGGUGAACGUCUUAUAGGUGUUCCGAGGGUUUGAAUCCCUCUUUCUCCGCCA
rnacentral:tRNA from 1 species